CAAAAGCGGCCUGUAAUAGUUGGGUGAGGACAGGGAAAGACUUUGAAAUGGGCAGAAAAGAUUACGGGAUGUCCUGCAGGUUCAGUGUGCUUUGGCCUAUUUUUCAACUGUCUAAAUUUUCGCCGCCAAAGUCGCCAAAACCGCCUUCGCCGCAGCUGCAGCCAAAGCCUCCUCCUCCUCCUCUUCCUUCUCUCUCCUCCCUCACCUCCUCCUUCCUUCUAGGAAGCUUACUGGAGUGAAACUUGAACGUUUUCAAAAAAAAAUCAUUAACGCAAAUGAUUCUUGUCCAAAGAAACAGAAAUAAUAGAAGUGUGAAGGGGCGUGGGAGGGGGUUGAGAUGUGCCGCGUUCAGGCCCGGGGCACCGGCGAGGGUGGGCGUGUGAGCGGGGGGUGGGGGCGUUAACGGUGUCUUCUCCCCACAAAUGAAAGAGAAAUAGUAAAUUCUCCUGCGGGUGGCGAAUCAGGAGGGAAGGUGGAGCCCACAAUCUUUGCAAACUCUCUGGGGAGCCAGGGGUUGGUAGCUGGGAAGACUUGGGUGGUGACCCUGGGGGAGGGGAAGGGGCCGGGGAGCGGGGAAUGGGGGCAGCCCCUGGGGAGGAAUGGGAGAGGGAGGAGGACGCCAGGGGCACAGGGACAGCCUCCGGGGCGGGGCGCGGCGCCAGCCUAGCCCGAGGAUGGAGGCUGAGGCCGCCUGUUGAGUCACAGGUUUUGGCAGAGUUCAAAGACUGGGAAGCAAAGUUCAGCCAUGUUGGGCCUUUGGGCUCAUAGAUGAGCAAGGGUACCCCAAUAUGAGGGCUCAGCAAAUUCUGGAACUUAUCAGUUCUGAAGACCUUUAGAGGAGAAGGAGACAAGUAAAAGGGUUGGCCUUGCGUAUUGGCAAUGAAACAGGCUAUUUUUGACAUUGAGUUGUCCAGCAUUCUCUAAGGUAUGUAGUCCUGGAGGGCGCUGCUUAAUGAACCAGAAGUCCUGCCUCUUAAGUACCUCACCAGCUCAAAUGUGUGCAUGUCACCUUGGCGUGAAUCGGAGCAGGCGCUGGUGGAUACCGUUUGGAGGCAUGCCAGCAAGGAGCUCCUUGUGUAGCCUGCCUCUGGAGCCUCAAGUUCAACUUCCAUAGGGCCAAAAGGGGAGUCGGGCUGGGCAGAAGCUCCUGAGAACCAAAGCAAAUGGUCUGAGAGUCUGAGAGUGUAGUGGAGGUAACGUGUUCGUGUCCUCUCUGGCUGCAUCACCCCAAGUCCUUGCAGACUCAAGUAGCCUAUUUGCAAGUUUAAAUAGUUUGAGUCCUGGCCGGUAACAAGAAUACUCUACAGUGGCCCAGAGUCAGGGAUAUAGAGUGGCGACUACUUGGCAGAACUGGAGCUUGCUCAGAUGAAAAGAUAAAUUGUACUGGUUAAACGAAGAUCAAGUGCAGGGUCUGGACUUUGUUUCUAUCUUUCAUGUGGACUCUAUAAGCACCUACACACAGCAUUCUAGAAACACUGCUCCCAUCCCUCCUGUCUCAUGUCAUCCUCCCAAUUCCGGGAGUUGGGGGGCAUACUCUUUCCCUGUGUCAUGUGAGAAAUUCCUUUCUCAUGGGAAGCAGGUGGCAUUCCUGGACUCUCCUUGGCCUGGCCGUUGGUAAGCACAGGAAUUCAAGGUGUCUGAAUCUCUUGUCAAAGGUGGGCUGUAAGGCUCCAGAAGAGGAGGACAGAAAGUGCCUGCAGAGCUCCUGCCUGAGGCCUUUGGAUGGGCCCUGCUGGCUUGCCGUGUGUGUGUGUGUGUGUGUGUGUGUGUGUGUGUGUGUGUGGUGUCGUGCUUAUUUGCCCCAAAUGAGGCAAGAGAGCAGUGAUCAGGUGUCUCCCCAGCAUCUAGUUUCAUGAAGACAAUAGAAGUGGGUCGGAUCAGGCCUGCUGCCAUGCUUGGCUUGCCCAUGUCUCCUAGGAUUGGCUGCCUGGUGGCCAUCCCUUUGCCAUCCCCUUGACUGCCCUGUGAAUGAUGUCCACUCUGAGACCCCAGGCCACUCAGAAAAACUGAAGAUUCUCAAGUUCAGGUGCAGUUAGGGGGCAGGUCCUGGUGGUGGGGGAGCUUUGAUGUUCUGCAGUUGGAGGAUCCUCUUUCAGAAUAGUAAUGCAAUUUGUGAAUUAAUAAAAUUAGGUAUGCAAGAGGAUAUGUAGAAAAGAAAAAUCACAAGCUACACAAUUUUUAAGUUGACAAAACUACGAACAUCACAAAAUAAUAUGAUAUUUUAAAUUAAUUAUCUGCCUGGAAUACUCUGUCAUUUUUUUUUGAUCUUUUGCCUGCAUCGUCUUUGAUAGCAGUGUUUUUGAUAUUGCUUUUUAUAGAGAGACUCAAGAUAAUGGAGUCUACUCUGUUGUGGUUAAUUAAACAUUUUUUGGUGUUAUUCAUAGUUUGAGAUGUUUCUUUUAGCUUCUCAACCUGCUAUACAGAUAAAAAGCACUUUCAUGUCAGGUAAAUAUUUAGAAUUGUUGCCAAAUUUUAAAUUUCCUCCAUCAAUUUUCUUUCAUAUGUCAUAUAUGAGUUGUGAGAUUUGGAAGGAUAUUUCAGACCAGCUUCUGUAUCUAUUUUUUUCUCUAAUCACAUGCUACUGGUGGUGUGGACAGUAGUAGCACAUGACCAUAUCAGGACAUGAUCUAUCUUGGUGUCAUGGCUCUCAGUGAGUCUGCUUGGAGGGUAGUAGAAGUAUCCCUGGACGUCAUUCCUACACCAGGACAGCAAUAACUUAGCUCUCCAAGGAAGUUACUGUGAACCACAUGCACAUAUUCUACUCAAGUCAAUGUGCCCCCAACUCAAUUUGUCCUUAGCUAGACCCCAAAAGUUCUCAUGGGGAGUCUCACUCCCCUUCCACUUAACAUGAUGGAAGGCCUGAUUGGAGGGGGGCGUCAGCAGUGGGAAGAGACACAGCCUUCACUGAUUGCAGCUAAAAUGUCUUACUUUUGAAAAUAGGACAAAAACAUAUGACCAUGUGCAUAUACUGCUGAAGCCCCUCCCUGGGCCAUGCAAGGUGCCUAUGUGAGUGCAAGUGAGAUGCCCGGAAGUGUAAGUUUCAUCUGCUCAGGAAAGGGCCAGGUAUUGCCUGGUAUCACAUUCCAGGGGAAAGGAAGAGACAGUCAAGGCCUUAUGGCUCUUAACUUUGAUCUUAGUGCUUCGUAUUUUCCAUUCUGCAUGAUACAAAAACAGAUUUAAAUCAUGUUCUAGAUAGAGAUGAAAAGCAUUUUCACUUUUGGCAGGUCGUGGAACAUCAAUCAAUAUUUGUUAAUUGGUUGAACUGGAUGCAUAAUUGGAAAGCUAAUGGAAGGAGAUAUGUUUUACAAGGAAGGGCCCUUGGUGAUCACUGAUUAGUCAUUUUUACAGAUAGCAAAGCCAGGAAGGGGAAUGACUGUCUGAAGGUGGCAGUGAAUGACAGAGCUGAGGCCCAUGGCAAGGUGCACUAGUACACUCUGCCUUUGCAUGACUGUAAGCAAUUAAAGUCUCAUCAGAAGUCAUUGUGAGUUAAUACACGGAGCAAAUAUAGGUGCAGAUGUCUAGAAGCAACAAUGGCAUUUACAGUGAAGCCAAACAUUGAAGGUUUACUGUAAAAUGUUGCACUGAAUUCUUUAUAUACACCUGUUUUGGUUAGUCAUUAUUCUCUCCAGUCUGUGGGUUACAUGCCCCUUGCUGACCCACAGUACCAUGCCACAAGAUAGGCAGUGUAUUGGCCAGGUGCACACCUGGCAAAAGUCUACUCUGCUUAGGUUCAGCUGUGGAUGGGUUCUGUGCGCCUUGGAUGGGGUCGUGAAAACUGUGGGACUACAGGACUGGGCUUGUGGGCAGAAGAGUCAUAGGGCACUCUGCCUAGGAAAAGGGAAAGGGGCCUGUUCCUACCAGGUGCUCUGCGGAGUGUCCACACUGCAGGGAAAGGCUCAGGUCUGAAUAGGAGGUGCAGACUUUGUGUCUACAGGACCCUGCAAACCUGAGGCCUUGUGGAGGUUUGGUCAAGAUGGAGAGGCCAGUUAGCGGCGUACCAUGGGCUAGACUGUCCAUGACGUGGAGUAAAAGGCAGCUAUUGGCACUGAGCUAACAACAGUGGGAGGUGGGGCCUCAGUGGAAGUGGAUUGCUUGCUUCUCAUCCUGCCUCCAACACUUGGUACCCACAUGACCCUGCACAAGGAACCUGUUUGUCCCAUCUGAGCCUCUGCAUCUUGGGCUGUCAAAAGCCAAGAAAAAAAAAUUGUAAGACUGAUCUCAUAGGGUCGUUACGAGAAUUAAAUGAGAUAAUCCAUGUAAAGCAACUGACAUGUAAAAAUAACAAUAAUGAAAG
rnacentral:lncRNA from 10 species